ensembl:lncRNA
GUCCACAGCUCGGCCCCCAGAGGACCCGAUGCUCCGCCGGCCAGCAGGAUCCAUGAAACGCCACCGCUUGACCUUCUUCCCUCUGGAGAAGCACCGUGUGAACCGCGACGGACCGGAGGAGCCGACAGAGCAGACCACCGCGACCGGGCGGAGGGAGCGGCUGAAAGGAGAUCAUCGAUCAUCAGAUCCACGGAGAAGAGACCGCAAACUGGUUUCCCAGCACCGCGACCCCUCCAGCUCGCUCACCUCCGCAGACGUGGUGGCGAUGCAGCCUUCGUCGGGGCACCAUCACGCCAACAGUGGCCCCUUUUUCGCCGCUCUCCAUCGAAACCCGCACAUGGCGGGGACCUGAGAUUCCUACCCAUUAACAAUUCAGAGGCGUUGUAUUUUUGAAUUGUGCAAAAUUCGUAGCUGAGCCCCGAGUCAACUUUAGCUAUUUUGAAGGGCCCAAUCUGAGCACACAAAUGCAGUUUUGGUGUCCACAACACCUGAACCAGCCUGAAGGGGCAAACACACGUGGGACAAGGCUUUCCUUUUCCAAAAAAUCCACUUCUGCUGAGAAUUGUGUCCCCGGAGAAACCAUUACUUUAUUUCCUCUGGUUCCACAGCCAUAAUGAGUCUCAGAGGAGUGCAUGGUGAUGACAAACAUCCCGCUGGAAGCACACAGGAAGACCGGCAACAACAAUAAAUUGUAACACGUCACAGUUGUCAGACUGGGGAUCGAUGACCAAACAAGUGUUCACGGGGAACCUACUGCGACAACAGUCGCAAUUAAAAAGUUCAAGCUCGAACUAGAGACAGAUAAUAUGGGACUUUAUUGUAUUUGUUUGAUCGAGUAGAAAAGCAGGUUCACUAAAGCAAGCAAGGGCAAAGAGUUUGUGUAAACACGACAAACGUGGAGCAGAAAAGCAGCUGAUUGGAUGCUUUCCAAAAUGUGUCCUCCGGCUACUUGUUGUGAUCUGAUGAUUUUCCGCCAUGAGGCAGAAAUAUGCUCAUAAUCCACGAGUGAGACAAAAUGAGAUGAAUGUACUCAGUGUCUCACUUUGACUGACGUUGGAGCAAAGUAAACAUGCCGUAGUAGAACUGCAUUGGGCUCAGGCACACGUAUUGAUCCUACG